rnacentral:rRNA from 1 species
GAUGAACGCUGGCGGCGUGCCUAACACAUGCAAGUCGAACGAUUAAACCGCCCUCGGGCGGACAUAGAGUGGCGAACGGGUGAGUAACACGUGACCAACCUGCCCCGCGCUCCGGGACAACCGCUGGAAACGGCGGCUAAUACCGGAUACUCCGGGAGGGCCCCAUGGCCCUGCCGGGAAAGCCGAGACGGCGCGGGAUGGGGUCGCGGCCCAUUAGGUAGACGGCGGGGUAACGGCCCACCGUGCCCGCGAUGGGUAGCCGGACUGAGAGGUCGACCGGCCACAUUGGGACUGAGAUACGGCCCAGACUCCUACGGGAGGCAGCAGUGGGGAAUUUUGCGCAAUGGGGGGAACCCUGACGCAGCAACGCCGCGUGCGGGACGAAGGCCCUCGGGUUGUAAACCGCUUUCAGCAGGGAAGAUCCAAGACGGUACCUGCAGAAGAAGCUCCGGCUAACUACGUGCCAGCAGCCGCGGUAAUACGUAGGGGGCGAGCGUUAUCCGGAUUCAUUGGGCGUAAAGCGCGCGUAGGCGGCCGCCUAAGCGGGACCUCUAACCCCGGGGCUCAACCCCGGGCCGGGUCCCGGACUGGGCGGCUCGAGUGCGGUAGAGGAGAGCGGAAUUCCCGGUGUAGCGGUGGAAUGCGCAGAUAUCGGGAAGAACACCGAUGGCGAAGGCAGCUCUCUGGGCCGUCACUGACGCUGAGGCGCGAAAGCUGGGGGAGCGAACAGGAUUAGAUACCCUGGUAGUCCCAGCCGUAAACGAUGGGCGCUAGGUGUGGGGGGACGAUCCCUCCGUGCCGCAGCCAACGCAUUAAGCGCCCCGCCUGGGGAGUACGGCCGCAAGGCUAAAACUCAAAGGAAUUGACGGGGGCCCGCACAAGCAGCGGAGCAUGUGGCUUAAUUCGAAGCAACGCGAAGAACCUUACCAGGGCUUGACAUGCCGAUGAAGCCGGGGAGACCCGGUGGCCGAGAGGAGUCGGCGCAGGUGGUGCAUGGCUGUCGUCAGCUCGUGUCGUGAGAUGUUGGGUUAAGUCCCGCAACGAGCGCAACCCCCGCCCCGUGUUGCCAGCAUUCAGUUGGGGACUCGCGGGGGACUGCCGGCGUCAAGCCGGAGGAAGGUGGGGACGACGUCAAGUCAUCAUGCCCCUUAUGCCCUGGGCUGCACACGUGCUACAAUGGCCGGUACAGAGGGUUGCCACCCCGCGAGGGGGAGCGGAUCCCGGAAAGCCGGUCCCAGUUCGGAUCGCAGGCUGCAACCCGCCUGCGUGAAGCCGGAGUUGCUAGUAAUCGCGGAUCAGCACGCCGCGGUGAAUACGUUCCCGGGCCUUGUACACACCGCCCGUCACACCACCCGAGUCGUCUGCACCCGAAGCCGCCGGCCGAACCCCCCUGGGGGGCGGAGGCGUCGAAGGUGUGGAGGGUAAGGGGGGUGAAGUCGUAACAAGGUAGCCGUACCGGAAGGUGCGGCUGGAUCACCUCCUUUCUAGGGAGAGACCUAGGCCGUCGCCCAUCUCUCAGCAUCCGGCUGCGAGGGCUCCGCGAGAGCGGCCCCCGCGCACCUUGACAGCUGCAUAGCGCGUGACGAGAUACAUUGUCACGAUCAUGAUCAACACCAACAUCAAUUCCUGAAGCUUUGCUUUAGAGUGUUCGAUGGGUGUUCGCAUCAUGGACAAGACGAUUCAUCACGAUCGCGAACGUAUGUUAUACGACGGAUAGAGAAAUUCUCAACAAUCCAAUGGACGAUACCGUGGGGGGCCCUUGUUACCCUUUGGCCCCCCAUGCGACCUUGAGAUCGGAAGAAGAUACCAAGGGCGCACGGCGGAUGCCUUGGCACAGGAAGUCGACGAAGGACGCGGCAAGCUGCGAUAAUCUGCGGGGAGUGGCAAACACACCUUGAUCCGCAGGUCUCCGAAUGGGGGAACCCACCUGGGGCCAUGCCCAGGUACCCCAUCCUGAAUCAAAUAGGGAUGAGGGAGGCAACCGGGGGAACUGAAACAUCUAAGUACCCCGAGGAAGAGAAAUCAACCGAGAUUGCGCGAGUAGCGGCGAGCGAAAGCGCACCAGCCCAAACCCGGGCGCGUGUAAGCGGCAGGCGUUGCCGCCCGGGGGUUGCGGGACGCACGUGCGGGGGCUGCCCUCCCGCGUGAGGUUACAAAUCCACAUGGUAGCGGAACGGCAUGGAAGGGCCGGCCGCAGCGGGUGAGAGCCCCGUACGCGAAACCAUGCGGACCUCAGUUGCGCAUCCCGAGUAGGGCCGGGCACGUGAAACCCGGUCCGAAGCCGGGGGGACCACCCUCCAAGGCUGAACACUCUCCUGUGACCGAUAGCGAACC